GGUGGUCAGUCGGUUGGAGUCUGCUGGCCAUGCUGCAAGGAGGAAGGGACAGGAAGCAGCGAGCUGGAACUGCAGAAGAAAGAGCCAGAGCUGUGUGGGGUUGUUCGUAUGACUGCAACAUAGCAAAGGGAGUGUCAUGACCAUCUUGACAGCAACAUUUGGUGACACCAGACGUGAUUUGCAAUUGAGGUGCAGCAGAGAUGGAGCCCUGUGAAGCUGAGAGCAGCAGGUGAAGCUGCCAGUCUGGACUUGAUUUUUAUACCUUGAGUACAGGUGAGCCACGGCAAACAUAAUGAUGGGGACUCGAGUAUCAGGAAAAGAUUAUUCAGCUGUGAAGCAUAAUGGAAGAGCGGAGCGAUGAUUGGUUAUAGAUACUGGAAAAGAAAAGAAUGCAAAGAAGUGACACCCUCCUUGAUUGCAAUCUAAACCAAAGAAGACACAAGAUACCAGUAUUUACUAUGGAGUAACUAUGGGAGUGUAACUUUCAGUUUGACAGAAAAAUUUAACUCCAUGUGUUUUGCUUUGUUUUCUGUUUGGGGUCACUCACCAGCUCAUCCCUUGAUUUUUGGUUCAGCAUGAAACAAAAACAUCUAAUUUUUUAGAAUCUGAGUAGAACAAAGCAUUCAGGGCUUUUAGGAUUCCUAGGAUGCUUUGUAGUCAACUCUCUCUUUCCAGACCUAUCAUAAAGGACACCAUGACAGCAAGUUUUCACAAAGUGCUUAUUUUUUCAAAAAGUCCGUAACUAAAAGUGGGAAAUAAUUUUUAAUGUAUCAGUGAAAGAUCUGUACUUAAUUUUACAAAAUAUUUCUUUCUUCAAUAUGAUAUCUUUCUAUUCCCCUUCUGAAUUAUGUUAUAAUUGACAUAUUAAUAUAUUUGAACAAACCUUUUGAAUUUCAGGAAAAAGGAAAUCUCCUAAUGACAGUAAGCACUGAGACAAUAGAACACUUAUCCAUAUUUUCUGCAAAAUAUCUGAAGAUUUAAGGCUUCCUAAUUGAGCAAGUUAAGGAGAGACACUACUCAACAUUUAAAUAUACAAAUCAUCUUUUCUGCAAAGCAGAAAGUUUACCUGUGACAAAAUUAAUCACAUAAUUAGUAAAGUUAAGCAAUUGUUUGUUUGUUUUUAAUUAAAAUUCCAAUGGUCUGUAAUAGGGGGAAAUUGAGAUUUUCAUGGUAAUGCAUUGCGCUAGUUUUUAAAAACUCAGCAGGGAGACCAAGCCCCCUAAAUCUCCCCAUUCUUGACAGCAGAGGUAAAAAUACUAAGAGAUGUUAUAAACUGAGUCACAAUUUAUUGAAGACCUUGCAAUAAACACAGUCAUAAUAGUAAAAAAGAUUUGUACGAAAGAGGAACUGGUUCAACCAACGAAGGCAUGUUGCCACUGCCCUCACCCCAGAAUAACUAAGAAACCAAAAACGCAGCUGCCAAUGCCUGGGCUGGACCACAGCUGGGACUUUCUCUCUGCUGUGGCAGUGCUGGCAGUCUGUAUGUCCCCAAGGUGGUCCAGGUAGUGGAUACCUCUCCUGAGAGCUGGGAAAGAGAAGAGGACCCCUCUGUUUCCACCCAUGGUUUUUAGAGGAGACAAAACCGCUCCCUUCUACAACUUAAGCAAAAGUUCUGCUUCUGGUGCCUCGGUUUCUCCUGCCAAGAACUGUUCCCUUCAAGCUUACAGCACUAAAACUCCAUCCCUUAUUCCUGUAUCUAACACAUAUAUCUCUUUCUAUAUAUGUCUACUAGACAGUAGUAAAAUUGUCAAUGUGUAUAAAUGCAAAUAUACCACAAUGCCUUAAUUUUGAAGUUCUUUAGAUUGUAUAAUGACCUAUAUUUUAAUUCUUUAUUAUUUAUAUCAAGUCUCAGACUUGAAAUUUCUCUCUCAGUUAAAUGGCAGUAAUGACUUCAUGUGACUUCAGCUGAUGGAUAUUAACAGGAAACAAAUGGAAAUGUCAUGGGCUGUACAUUUAUAGAGUGAAUAGCAAUUCAUAUUUGCUGUAAAUAUGGAGGUAUUUGCACUUGAUGUUUAGCAACCUGAUGCUAAUCAAACUAAGUUUGACUAUUUUGUUUAGUCACUGAAAGUUAAUAUAAUUUAUAAAAAUUGUGAA